AUGAAUGUCCGUUUCAUUGCAGAGACCGAAGCUUUGAAGACUACUAAUGAGGGGCUUGCUGCAGCCAAUCAAAACUUGUCAAUACAACUCAGCGAAAUUCGGACGAAGGCUCGGGCUGAUAGGAAAGUCCAUAGGGCCAAGCGUCGUAAACUUCGUGGCAAGAUAAAGGCACUUCAGGAACAGGACCCUCCUCUGACUGAAGAAUUGCUCAAGCGGAUACAGGCGGAUUAUCGUACAUCUGACGAUCUUGGCGCAGAAAUUCUGAAAGUAUACUAUGAAGGAUACGAAGAUUGCCGAGGUAGGGGCAAGGAAAAGCUGGUGGCGGCCCGGAGAUGAAGCUGUUGUCUGAAGAUAAUUUUACUUUCUUUAAUUUAUAGGAUUUGUGUAAAAAAUUUCUAAUUUUGUAAUCAAAUUAAAUAUUAAUGAAAUGUGGUCUCAUCCCUUAUGACUUCGGUGCAUUUACUUUCUGCCAAUACUUCAAUAUUAAUUCAACUGGAAAAAUGUACAAACUCUUUCAUGGACUCAACUCGAACUUUU
rnacentral:lncRNA from 1 species